GAUAUCCGCGUAAAACUGUAUAUACACCGAAUAUUCACAUAGAACAAACGUUCUGCAAAUAUUCUGAAAUAUUAAGUGAACAACCAGGGAAUGAUACGUGUCAGUAAUUUUAAAAACCAUUGUUGCCUAUCCUAUGUAUUCUGGUGGACAGGCCUAUGGAUUCGUCAUUAAUAUCAAAUCAGUGAAAUUGCUGGUGAAGCUUUUAUCAAGAAAAUGAGAAUUACAAGAAAUUUUUGAGAAUUUGUAGAAAAUUCAAAAAAUUUAAGAUUCAUCCUCCAAGUCUAAGGACCUCCUUAAAUUUAAGAGUCUUUAGUAGGGACAUUGGUCAGUGGUGAGACAGUGUCAUCCUCCGUCAUAUUUCACAGCUAGGCUUCAUCAUCUAAACACGCAGCCCAGAUAAUGUAUUAUGAAAUUAUUCGACUUCUGUUCGUAAUAUUUUCAUUUACAAAUCAAUCUUUAGUUACUAUAAAUUUUUACACACUACUGAAACUAUUUUAGUGCAUUAAGAAGACAUUCUCAAAUGUAGUUAUCUGGUGAAGAAAUCGAAUAAUGUCUGAAAGUCCAAUCACCAUUUUGACUUCGGGAAAGAAUGUUGAUACUCUACCUUUAAAAGCCGAGACCAAACGAUUAAAGAAAGCGAAAGAGUAAGAGAGGAGGAAAAAGAAAACAGCCAAACGAUAGCGAAAAAUGCCGCGUUGGUGCACUUUGAACAUUCACAUUCAGCAAUCCCAUCGCAUUCUGAAUAAUUCUGCAUCAUCUCUCAAAAAGGUAAAUAGAAACAACUCAAUUCAUUGCAAUGUAUGCGAUUGAGGUGUGCACUUGAAGGGUACCAAGUUAUACCUUGAUUAUUAAAAUUUCACGACGAAUCAGAUUAAUUGUAUUACGUUUUCAUAUUUUUUUUAAUUAAAAUUGUGUCAUUUAUCUUAUUUUCCAUCUUAAAAAAUAAAUAAUUACUAAAAUA